rnacentral:rRNA from 1 species
UUCCCAGACUCCUACGGGAGGCAGCAGUAGGGAAUCUUUCACAAUGGGCGAAAGCCUGAUGGAGCAACGCCGCGUGCAGGAUGAAGGCCUUCGGGUUGUAAACUGCUUUUAUAAGCGAGAAAUAUGAUGGUAACUUAUGAAUAAGGAUCGGCUAACUACGUGCCAGCAGCCGCGGUAAUACGGAGGGUGCGAGCGUUAAUCGGAAUUACUGGGCGUAAAGCGCUCGUAGGCGGUAUGUCAAGUCAAGGGUGAAAUCCCCGCGCUCAACGUGGGAACUGCCUUUGAAACUGGCAAACUGGAGUGUGUGAGAGGAUGGUGGAAUUCCAGGUGUAGGAGUGAAAUCCGUAGAUAUCUGGAGGAACAUCAGUGGCGAAGGCGACUAUCUGGCACAUAACUGACGCUGAGGAGCGAAAGCGUGGGUAGCAAACAGGAUUAGAUACCCUUGUA